UACGUAGGCAGCGAGCGUUGUUCGGAGUUACUGGGCGUAAAGGGUGUGUAGGCGGUUCUCUAAGUUUGGUGUGAAAUCUCCCGGCUCAACCGGGAGGGUGCGCCGAAAACUGGAGGGCUAGAGUGCGGGAAGGGAGAGUAGAAUUCCUGGUGUAGCGGUGAAAUGCGUAGAUAUCAGGAGGAAUACCGGUGGUGUAGACGGCUCUCUGGACCGCGACUGACGCUGAGACACGAAAGCGUGGGGAGCGAACAGG
rnacentral:rRNA from 1 species